AACAGGUGGUUAUAGGAGAGACAGCUGCUUCAUUGUACUGUUCGUCCUACAGAUAUGGUGCUCAGAAGCCCCCACUGCCAUGAGAGUAUCUCCUUGUCCUGUAACAUCAGCUCCCAGGAUGAGCCCACCAUCUUCCUUUUUGCAUGGUAUGCUCCUAAUGGAAGAGCUCUGUGUGAGCUGAAGAAUAGGAACAUAAGCACCCAUAACGGAGUGAACUGUGUCUACAAAGACCAACAACUGGUCUUGACCUUUCGUCACACAAAACCAAUCCACGAUGGGCAGUAUCUCUGCAAGCUGCGCUCCUCACUCUCACCUGAACUUACAAGAGUGCCUCCACAGCCUCCAUAUCCACAGCCAUGAUCGAAACUCGACGUGUCGCGCCAGAGUCGUCUACCCAGAGGCCCACAUCCACUGGUUCCAGGGGUCCAACAACCUGACCGACUUCUCAGUGGCCCACCCCAGAGUACGGUCCGAGGACGGCACCUAUGAGAUAGCCAGCACUUCAGCAGCUCAGAGACCUGAAAAGAUUAGGACUCCAGAGGGAAUGAGGAGGAGCUCCAGGGCCAACAGUUAUGGAGGCGUGGGGAUUACUGUGGCCCUUUCAGCAGCAACACUCACUCAUUCAAGUAGGAUACAGCAGAACUCACAACGAUGCCCUUAGAUUGUACAUUUGGUCAAAGGCACCCUGAGCAGUUUUUGACCUUAACAUAAGGGUGCCUUUAAACACGUGUGAACAAACAAGUGGAGCCAAGCUGAACACUAAAGAGGCAGGAGACAUUAUACUCCAGUCUCAAGUGCCACAUACUUAAAUGAUGCCUAAGGUGUAUUCAUCAGAUUUAGGAGGUAUGGGACUGAAAAGUUUGGGAACCCCUGACAUAGAGUGUUCACUCAUUGUCUGAAAAGAAAUGUAUAGCCUAAGUCUGAGGAAUACACCAAAAAAGCAAACAACAGGUUAGUUAGGCUAAUGUCAUAUCCAAUGUUCCCUCUCAUCCCUGAGCAAAUAGAAAUGGAUGGCUCGGUGUAUAUACUGUAGGGAUCUCACACAUUUAUAGUACAGUUUGUAAAAGAAAAUGAAAGGCAUUAUAUUCGAAGACCAUGC